rnacentral:lncRNA from 1 species
CCAAUGAAAAUCUCCCACAAUGUGAAGUUACCUUUGGACAUUUGAAGAUUUAAAAAAAAUUAUUUGCUGGUAAUUGGAGUUGUCUGUGUUUAGUAAUCGAUAUGCAUGUUAUCUUCUGUACCCCUUCCCAUCUACCCCAGCAUCAGCCUGUGAUUCUUUGUUUGAGAUGGAGUUGAGGUGGCAUAAGGCACGCUCUUUCCCAUGUGCUUNGCUUGGUACCAUUCUUAAGGAUUUUUUUAAAUUGUUUUAAGGCAAACUCCUGCUCAGAGCAGUACUGGUUAGGGAGAGGAUCUCCAAAAUUGGUCCAGUUCAGUUUUAUGAGUCUCCAACAAGAGAGAUUCCACAUCCUGUCUGGACAACCUCUUCCAGUAGAUGAGCUUUCUCCUGGUGGAAGGCUUGGGGGCUUUUGUUUUUGUAUUUUUUUUUCUUUUCCUUGUGUCUCUUGAGAAUUUUCCAAGUUCUAAUAUGUGUUCAUCCACUCUUGUGCUCUGAACACCUUUGAGUCUGACUUACUCAUAUUUAUACCCUCCUAAUACGUAGUUGUAGCCAGUAAUAAUUACAUCCUGGCACCUUUAUCCUUUUUAAGGCUUAGCAAAGUCAUUUCAUUUGGUAUCCUGAUAUGUCUAUUCUCCAGUCCCUUAACCAUCUUGGCAGCCCACUGCUGAGCUUAGGCAGUUUGUCAUGUAUACUUGGAAGUUAACUGUAUUGGAUGUCUUUUUCUUAAGUAGUCACGUUUCUCAGAUGAGUCAUUAUUUGUUAUUAUGAAAUGCCCAGCCGAGUGGUAGUAGACAAAGUUCUUCUUGAAUUGAGGGCUUAUGAAAACCAUAUUUGUUCCUUUUAAUAAGAUUUGAAUGAAGAUCUGGGAUGUUUUUGUUUUUUGUGAGGAAGGUGCAUGUCUAUGUAUAUGUAUUUAAUUAUGUAAGUAAUUCUUUUCUCGUCUCCUUGAAUUUAGGCACCAACACAGUGUCUUCCAGGGCAGUGGUCUGUUUCACAGUCUCCAACCUCUUCACCUUCGUUGUUUUAUCUGCACCCAUCAGAAGUUAUUUAUCAACCAGUAGGGAUUGCCCAGGAAGGUGGUUGCGUACCUUCUCCUUUCCUUCUAGUGGAAGCUGCAGUUCCUGAG